ACUAUAACCACAACCUUCAUUUACACCAUCAAAUAAAAAUCUAAAUUUUUAUUGAAGUGUCUUAUUCUUAUUGAGUAUCCAUGAAUGGCCCUAAAUACCCACUCUAUUCUCCUUUAAUUUUAGGUUGUCGUACUGUAUUUCCCCAUUAUCUUCUUCUUACAGUCAGAAUCUGCAUAUACUUCCUUCAUGAAAGUUGUAGAUCUCGAAAAGUUAUUGAAUUUAGACCCAAAGAUCAUCUGAUUCGGAGUUCGGAGUAAAGAGUUAGACCCUCUAUUAGAAAGGAAAAGUGAUAGUACAAGCCUCCUCCGGCUAUCAAGUAUAAUAAUCGCGACUUGAGGUAUGGCAAAGCAUAUGCAAAGGUGAUAUUAUGGAUUAUGUUGAAGUGACUCUACACAUAUUUGGGAUAUUUAGAAUACUAUGUAUUGUGAGUAAUCAUUAUUACUCUAGUUGAGAGUUUGUAUAUUUUUAGAGACCAUUUUAAGGCUAUUAUUUUAUUUAUGGGCCCAUAACCCACAGCUUAAGUUUCGUUUCCGCUGCCAAUCAUGAGUAAUUAAGGUUACGGAUUUUCGGGGCGUUACAGGAAAUGUAGGCUAUUGUGCAUUCUCCAAGCUUGGUUGAAGACAAGGGCAUUUGUUUGGGUUGGAUAUAUUUCUCUUGCUAAGGCCUCCUUCAAAUUUAUGAGUUUUCAAUAGAUCUUUUUACUCCAAUAGAUUGGGGUCUUAUCCAUAAAAGAAGACCACCAAAGUUUGAGAAAAAGGGAAGAAAGUUUGUUUCAGAUCUAUUUUGGAAAGAGGUAAAUAGAUAUUAUAUGUAAGGCUGGGGGGUGAGAAUUGUGUUGAUGAGGAUAAGAGUGUCUGACUAGGAAAGAUUAAUAAAUUAUCAUCAAAAGAUUUUUGUUAUCAUUUUUAUGAUGAUUGAAUUAAAGCUGGAUGAAAAUCAUCCAUCUACCUCCAUCGGUCAUCCUAGAUAGGUUCCUGUGGAGGUCGAAUUCAUUAUCUCAAGAGGCUUGCGCAUAACUCUGAUCUGAUGAAUCCGACUAGUGUGUGUUUGGACUG